UGAGGGUUUGGCGGCUAGCUCCAUUCUCGUGGAAGAAACCCUGGUUAUUGGCGGUGGCUUGUUCCACUUGGGGCGAUUGGAUCUGGCUGCGAUCUCGCCGCCAUUGUUCCACCUCCAACCCACCUCGAGCGGCCUUCUCUCAACGCCCUCGCCUCCGACUGCUCUGGCUCUGUGCUGCCCGUGCUUCGCCGGCUUCUCGAAUUUAGGUCGCUGAUUUCUGAUCCCCCAGUGAUGCGUGACGAAAUCCUGGCGAUCCAUGCCUCCACGGCUCCACCCAAUCAACGUCUGGAACCAAAGCCCGCUCCACAAGAUCUGUAAGGGCCAGAAAGACGAGUUCGUCCUAUCAGCGAUGGAGAUCCACCACCUAUUGAUUCUGCACCCGCCGUCGCCAACGAGAUGUUUCUCACGAAGAUGGAGUACACUAGCUGGUUGAACACCUUCUCCCCAAGUCGAUGUUGUUCCAGGUUGAGUACACCAUUGAGGCCAUAAAGUUGGGCUUGACCACGGUCAGGUUGAAGACUAAGGAUGGUGUUGUCCUGGCCGGUGAGGAACGUGUGACCUCAUCGCUGCCGGGCUGGACUAACGACACCAGCUUCAUGCGCUGCAAAUGGAGGAGAUGAAUUAGAGAGAAUCCACGGUCGUGCUUUCCUCCUGCCAUUAUACUCUAUUUAAUCAUCCACCCCCUGUUUGAGGUAAUACUUAAAUCAUACUCCUCCUUUGUGUUCAAUUUUAUCUAAUUGUAUUCGUUAAUCUUGCUUCAAUGUGUAAGGGAUCAAUUUAGUUUACAUGGCCCAAACCGCAUAUACAUCAACAAUCUCUGUCUCGCCGAAGAAAUGCAGCAAGUACGGGAUGGGAGAGAAUACACAGACCAGUACACCAUUGGUGACCACAUCUUGCCGUCUUCACCACUCCAAGGACUGGUACUUACGCAUGUCACAACGUGGUGCUACAUUGGCGGGCUGGCGGGCGGCCAUUGUGUCUAUAUGUCAUCAUCUUUUCUGAUAUCAUCAUGAAAUUUUCGGGCAGCUCCCAAAUGUGAACUGAAGUAUUGAACUAUGUUCUCAAACCUGGAGAAGAAAACACCGAAUCUUCAUCAGUGUUGGACUACAGGUUUGCAUAAAAAUCAUUUAAAAGUGACUGCAAAGAGGUCAUAAAUAAUCUCUGGAAUUUUUUGGUUUCCUUUUUGGACUUAAGUUUUGGGUGCAAACCUUUUCAUGGUUGCAUCAUGAAAGUUGGGACUUGGCAGUAAGAAACAAAAUAAUUCAUCACGACAUCACCUAGCUUAGCAUGUGCACAUGAUUUCUCUUUCUUAGUCCUUCUGUAUGGUAACACAUCCAUCCACAUGUAGUUUGAGGCUUUUUUGAGUCAAGCAAGUAGUUUCAAUGUACAAUAUGGAUUAGCACGAACAGAAUGUGGGUAGCCCUGCGUCAAUUUUUGGAGUCUUAUAUGUCUCUUAAUUUUUGGUUUUCCAUUUUUUCAUGCACUUAAUGGAAACGUGGGGUUAGCAGGAAUUAAAAAGGCUAACAUUUAUGUAUUAGUUAGUAAACAAAAUUAGUUAGCAUUACUAUGUCUUCCCAUCAGUAUUGAUCUUUUAUUCUUCUUUUCCUAUUUAGGUUAUGAUAAAAUCUGGUUGACAUAUUCAUUUUUUUUUCUGAAUCGUGACUCUACGGUGCAGAUCUGGUGCACACUAGAUUUCACAUAAGUCUAGAAGAACAAGGUACAAAAGGGACAUCUAAGUUCCUCACGGCAGUAAAGCGGGUGCAAAAUUUGGCUCCCUAAUAGUUUUCCAAGAAAACAUUAAAUGUUCGAAGUGCAAAACUUAUGGUCCCAACAAUCGUUUCAUAGUUUCAAUUCAUAGGUCUGCAAGUGCUACUGUAAGUGAUUGUGGUUAUUUGUAGACUUUCUUUUCUCUACGGUUGCCAGGAUGAGUAAUCAAAACGGGUGUGAUUUUUUAUGUUUGCAUUGAAAAGGACAGGUCCAUACAUUUGGAUAGAUUGAAAUUUCUUUUUUUUUCUUCACUUCGAGUAAUAUGUUAAAGUAAAU